rnacentral:lncRNA from 1 species
GAGGGCGGGCCAACCCUGCUGGACUCCGCCCCCCUGGGGCGGCGCAGGCGCAGGCGGGCUCCAGGAACUCAGGCGGGAGGGCGGGCGCUCCUGGCUCCCGAGCCGGCGCGCGGGGCCGCAGCACCUGCGGGGGCCGGCGCUGGGCGCGGCGCCCGGCGGGCGGACGUCGACGCCGGGAGGCUAGGGCGGGGAGGCGGGCCUGGGACGUGGGGGUGGCCGCGGAACCCGCGGGAAGGCCAGCCUGUAGCCCCCUCCCCAGGGGGACGGGGCGUAGGGAGCGGGGCUGGGGGCGGUGUAAGCGGGCGCCGAGGGCAGCACCAUCUGGAGGGGUGGGACCGCGCGGCCUCUUGGGGGCAGGCGAGUGCGCUGGGCAGUGCCGGCGAGGGGCCCCGAGCGGGGAGCGCAGGAGGAGCGCGGCGGACUCAGUCCGGCGCUGCCGGAGCAGCAGCCGCAGCGGGUCGGAGUUCUCAGCUGGGGCCCGCAGCUGCUCCGCGGGCUGAAGCUCGGCGUGGAGGAGCAGGGGGGCGUGGGUCCGGCCGUGCAGGAGGAGGGCGGGGUGGGCCCGGGGGUGCAGGAGCGGGGCGGCCGUGGCCACGAGCCCAGCCUGGGGGUGGUGUGGGGUCCGCCGGACGGCGCGGACUGGAGGCGCCCGCCGCCGUGGACGGGCUCGGCGGGCUGGCCUGUGGUGCAGGAGGAGGGGUUGGGGCCCCGCAAGCAGUACCAGGAGAAGGGGGGAGGCAGCCCCGCAGUGCAGGAGCGUGGGGAGGCCCGCGCCGGGGUGCAGGAACAGGGGGAGGGGAGCCCACGCAGGCUGCUGCAGCAGCCCGAGCCGCUCUCCGAGUUCGGGGACCGUUCCUGGGAGCGCGGGGAGGGGCUCGAAAGUUCCGGGGAGCCGGGGGCUCAGCACUGGGAGAGCUGCGGGCACCUCAGGCGGGAGGCAGUGGUCCUGGGAGCGGCCCCGACACGCCGCGAGAGACUCGAGCUGGUGGGGAGGGCCAGGCCUGUGGGGCCCCAGGGGCCUGA